rnacentral:snRNA from 1 species
AUACUAACCUUGCGCAGGGUGUACCGCGAUCAGGAAGGCGGUUGCCCCGGGCCGGCGCCGGACAUUGCACUGCGUUUGGACGCGACGCCUGUAACUAUCCCUUUUGGGAUACGUUUUGCGCUCAAUUUUUGGUAGUCGGACUUGCGUUCUGCGCGGUCCAC